CAGGGAGGUGGAUUCAUUCAAGGGGGAACAAUGAGUAGCAUUGGAUUGCACAAUGAGAUUCCCUAUUAAGCUUGCUGCUGCUGUGGGAGAUUGCAGGAUUGUGGAUAGCUUAAAAGACGGGGAAGUCGGAGACAGUGAACUCCUGCUUCUGCGAUUGUUGCUAAGGAGAUUUAGAAACGUUUGCUCUUUCAAUUAUCAGCAUAUUCAGCGUGUUGUUCUAUGAAGAACUUCUAUAAUAUGUGUGUGUCUGCCUGCUCGGCUAGGUAUUCUUCAGAUACUAGAAAAUCAACUAUCGGUGAGUGUCAAAUGUGUCAUCUGUGGAUGUGGUGAACUCUGCUGAAUCAAUUUAUUGUUCUUAUA